rnacentral:piRNA from 1 species
UGUUCAUGCAUCUCAUCAUUGCUAGACGA